rnacentral:rRNA from 1 species
AGCAUGUUGGUUGCUUGCAACCAAUGAUGGCGACCGGCGCACGGGUGAGUAACGCGUAUCCAACCUACCCUUGUCCAUCGGAUAACCCGUCGAAAGGCGGCCUAACACGAUAUGCGGUUCACAGCAGGCAUCUAACGUGAACGAAAUGUGAAGGAGAAGGAUGGGGAUGCGUCUGAUUAGCUUGUUGGCGGGGUAACGGCCCACCAAGGCUACGAUCAGUAGGGGUUCUGAGAGGAAGGUCCCCACAUUGGAACUGAGACACGGUCCAAACUCC